rnacentral:lncRNA from 1 species
GGGGAGAAAAGAGACAGAAAGACUCCCAUGACACAUCCUGUGGAUUCCACCUGUGUCUCCAUUAUACAAGCUCUAUAGGUUUGUCCCCCUCCCAGGACUUGAGUCAAGCACGGGAUAGUGGGGACUCUGUAAGGCUUUCAGGGGCAAGUCUGCCCCUGAGCCUCAACCCUUUAACCCACGUCAGCACCGCCACCUGCCCACUGAGCACUGCAAAGCCAAACGGGGUAGAAAUCCCGGGUUACUGAGUAGCUUUUCGCAGGCCACUGGGGACGAGGCUAUCUUAUUUUGUGCUUGUGUCUGCCUUUCCGGGACCCUUACUUCUUCCUCCUGUGCCCAUCUCUUGACCUCUGUCUAUCCCAGGCAAAGACAUCGUCCUUGCCUCUGUACUGGCUUCUCCCCAACUAAAACGCUCCGGACAUUUGAGACCCACUUCUGGCUUCAGGAGCGAUGGGGAGGCCUUGUUCAGGCUCACGCAUUGAGCUGAGCGAGCAGCAAAGCGUUAACUUCUCCCUGCUUGGAAAUAAGCGGUGGGUGGCUGAUCAUCUCAGGCCAACCAGAGGUCCGUUGCCCAGGCAACUCACCAGCUCCGCCUCUGAGGAUUGGCUGUUGGGAUGGAAGUUAGCCAAGCUUUAAAGGGACGCCAGCAAUUGCUCCUUUGGGGGAAAAAAAUCUACCAGUCCCACUGUGGGUGGAGAAAUAAAUGGUCUUUCUCCUUGUCAGGUCUUUUUUUUUUGUCCUGCUGGGUGACGGUGCUCCUUUGGAACACCGAGGAUGGCUUGAGAGACAGUAGCAAGCUAGGGGCAGUGGGGGAGGGGGAGGGGAGCAGGGCAUGGACCUUGCGCCACACCUUUCCUAGUGCUCGGAAUCCAGCCUGAUGGACUUGAGGUUUUUUUCCUGUCCAGAGCUCUCCUUAGGCAAACUCAGGAUUCACAGGCUCUUCCAGCUCUGCCAGCCGAUUGUGUCCCCUCUGUGGGUUACUCUCAAGCCACA